CCGACCCACCCUUCAGCCGCUGCCCCACCCCGCCCCAGCAGGCACCUGGGUCCUGCCCGGGGACCUCAGACCUUCACUAUAUCUUGUAUCUUAUGUCUGCCUCACCCUACUUCCCCCAUCCACCCUUCGGUCUGAACAUCUCUGUUUAGCCCAAGUAGGGAUAAGGACACCGAGGUUUCAGACUCCAGGUCUGUGGAGUCUCAAGAGUGGAAAAACCAAGGAAGGAUGCUGGAGGCAGAGGCAGAUAGGGGUGUAGGAGACCGGAGAGCCUCCACCCCACUCCCCACCAGGUCAGGGUUCUUGAUACAAGCUCCUGGAGGCCUGGACCUUCUCCGCUGUAGACCAGACCUGGUCCAGUAGGAGGUACCAUCGUGAGAGUUGACAUCGGCUUAGUAUGGGAAAGAAAUGCACACAUUGGCGUUGUUGGUCAUGUGAGGACACAGCAAGAAGGUGACAGUCUGCAAGCCAGGAAGAGAGGCUCCACCAGAAAGCAACCCUGCCCACCCUUGGAUCUUGGACUUCCAGCCUCCAGAAGUGUUUCAUCCCUCACUCCCUGCUGCUGACCUUGCUCCUUAUUUCACUAAUCGAGGCCACCAGGAGAGAAUUCCACAGCUCCUGCUAUCCAACCUGCCUGUCUGCCGGCAUCUGUCCACAGGCACUCUGUCUUCUCUCCCCGGUUGGCGGUGCCCUCGCUCUGCUCCUGCAUUCUCCAAAUGGCACUGAUAUUCACUCGCUGGUGGAUAAUUGUUGUCAUGGUUUGGAGAUGCUGCAUUUUCUCCCAACCCCCACCCCCCCAAACCAGAAAACAGAACAAGCAGCUUGAAAGAUCACCCUGAUAAAAACGAUCUACAAUCCACAACCUGAAGACUGAAUAUACUUCAAAGUUCAUCAGAGGAUAGAAGCAUCAAUCAAACUCCCCUGAAGGGAAUCGUCCCAGCUUGGACGUACCACCCACGUAUCCUGGCCCAGGCUUCCCACCUCAAGAGCACACGGGCGCCAGUGACAGCUUUUUAUGCCUGCUUCAUGGACUUUUAACCUUAGCCUUAAGAGCAUCUUGGUGUACAUUUUAUAUUGGCUCCGUAUUUGCUCUCUAGGUGCCAACUGACACUUAUCCUAACAAAGGAGUCUGGGAAUGGGCCAAUUUCUGAGCAACAUAUGAAAUCGCAACGUUAAAGGAGUAAUUCUGCCACUAACCUCUCUUUCGCAAGGAAAAAACUUAAGCAAAUUAACAAUUUUUCCCCACUGGAUGAAGAGGGCCUUGCUCAAUUCUUACCUCAAAAUUUAAAAACACAGGAUGUGUGCUGGCCCCCUCUCUUUUGGAGAAGAGACCGAAUGAUGAGGUCAGUAUGGCCAGGUCACCACGGCAGUGGCCCCACUGUCCCUUCUGAAUGCACAGGGUUGCUUUGGGGUCUUGCUUAUAAGGUACAGAAACUGUGCCACUUCAAAGUGGAAAGGAUCUUCCCCUCCAGAGAGAAAAGGACUUUCUAAAAGAUUAGAAAAAAAUUCCAAAAUCGUUUAUGGGCUUUUGUCUGAUUACUGUUUUAUGGCUUUGGUAUGUCAAAAUCCAGGGAUAAAAAUAUUACACUUUCCUUAAACUAUUCUUUCUGUUCAUAAAGAAACUUCUUAUUUCCAAGUAUUGGGUCACGUCUCAUGGGAUAUCCAUGAUACUGAUGCCCCUCCUCUGGGAAGACUUUUGAAGCCUGGGGAUGCAAAACAGUUGUUUUUGAUUGCUGCUGGAAUAAGACCAAUAAAGCCUUCCAAAUGCACCGUCCCCAGUGUAAUUUCCCAUACUUCCAUACUCUUUCCACAAAUAGC